AGUGAACGCCGGCGGUAGGCCUAACACAUGCAAGUCGAACGGCAGCACAGGAGAGCUUGCUCUCCGGGUGGCGAGUGGCGGACGGGUGAGGAAUACAUCGGAAUCUACUCUGUCGUGGGGGAUAACGUAGGGAAACUUACGCUAAUACCGCAUACGACCUACGGGUGAAAGUGGGGGACCGCAAGGCCUCACGCGAUUGAAUGAGCCGAUGUCGGAUAAGCUAGUUGGCGGGGUAAAGGCCCACCAAGGCGACGAACCGUAGCUGGUCUGAGAGGAUGAUCAGCCACACUGGAACUGAGACACGGUCCAGACUCCUACGGGAGGCAGCAGUGGGGAAUAUUGGACAAUGGGCGCAAGCCUGAUCCAGCCAUACCGCGUGAGUGAAGAAGGCCCUCGGGUUGUAAAGCUCUUUUGUUGGGAAAGAAAUCCUGUUGGUUAAUACCUGGCAGGGAUGACGGUACCCAAAGAAUAAGCACCGGCUAACUUCGUGCCAGCCGCCGCGGUAAAAC
rnacentral:rRNA from 1 species